rnacentral:rRNA from 1 species
CCUACGGGAGGCUGCAGUGGGGAAUAUUGGACAAUGGGGGCAACCCUGAUCCAGCCAUGCCGCGUGUGUGAAGAAGGCCCUCGGGUUGUAAAGCACUUUCAGUGAGGAAGAACGCCUGGUGGUUAAUACCCAUCAGGAAAGACAUCACUCACAGAAGAAGCACCGGCUAACUCCGUGCCAGCAGCCGCGGUAAUACGGAGGGUGCGAGCGUUAAUCGGAAUUACUGGGCGUAAAGCGCGCGUAGGUGGCUUGAUAAGCCGGGUGUGAAAGCCCCGGGCUCAACCUGGGAACGGCAUCCGGAACUGUCAAGCUAGAGUGCAGGUGAGGAAGGUAGAAUUCCCGGUGUAGCGGUGAAAUGCGUAGAGAUCGGGAGGAAUACCAGUGGCGAAGGCGGCCUUCUGGACUGACACUGACACUGAGGUGCGAAAGCGUGGGUAGCAAACAGGAUUAGAUACCCGGGUAGUC